rnacentral:lncRNA from 1 species
AGAAAAGGCGGUGACAUCAGCAAAAGGGAGCCAACUCCUUCCCCGUCUGCCGUUUUGUACUCUUGGCCUAACGUUGACUCAAAACAGCAACUUGGAGCCUUCCCUGACCUGUUGGCAUUCCUUUAUCAUCCAACUCCUGCUUCGGGAAAAUUUGUUUCUGUCUGUCUCCAAGAUACAAAAUCAAAAAGGUGUUUUAAUCCUGAGGAAGAGUGUGAGUCUGGGAAAAUUUUGGAUCACCGAGGUGCAGCCAUACCUUCCACAGCCAUCACUGUUGCUUACAACUCACAUGCCAAGAAUUGCAAGAUGAAGAUGGUGAUCAGGAGGCAUGACUUGGAAGAAGAGCCCAAGGACCGUAGCAAGGCCCUGAUUCUGGGAGACGAGAGAACACGCUGACUUAGAAUGCUUGUCUCUGCAUCCUGGUCAGAAAGUAGAUGGACGACACUUUCAUCUCCGACUGGAUUUUGGUGAGAGAUGGGCAAACCCCGGGCUCUAGGCUGGAGCAGCAGCUCUUGUAUCCACACAAAAUCAGGACUGGUGGAGGGAGCCAUCUUCAAACAUAAAUUUGCGUCUUUUGGCAAUGCACUCCUUGGGUUUGGAAGCUUCCCUCCAAGAUGCUGAGCCCAAUGUUUGGGGAAAGCCAGGGAAACAGAUGCUGGGUCAGUGCUGCUCCCACCUCCUCUGCUCCCCUCCUGAGGGCUCCACUGAGUCACCAGCCAGCAAACAGCCCAUGCGCCCUGGAGCAGAUGGACUGUGGGUACACGAGCCUCUGAACUCUUGGGCAGCAUGGGCACAACAUCCUUUUGGCCUCACCCAAUGACCUGGCUGCAUAUUAUGAAUAUUCAGUGAAACAACGUGUGUGCUCACCAGGCAGGAAGAGCUCAGCAAAUGGUGGCUGGUCUGGAAAUUAUUGUCAUCACUAUAAUCCUCAUCGACAUCCUCAGCCUUAUUGUCAUCAUCAUCAACCUCAUCAGUGUCAUCAUCAGCCUCAUCAACGUCAUCAUCAGCCUCAUCACUGUCAUCAUCAGCCCUUUGUCAUCAUCAUCAUCCACCUUGCUGUUCUCUUCCUUGUUGACAUCAUUAUCCUCAUCCUCCUCAUCACCAUCAACAGCAUUAUUUUUAUUUUUUAUUCUUCCACCUGUAAGAGUUUCUUUUCCUCCCUCUUAUUGUUUUCCUCUUGGGAUGACUAGUGGUGAAGGAAGUGUCAGAGGCAAUGACCUCACAGCUGUCGUUGCCAUGGGUGACACCUCCCAGAAAGAGCUUAUUGGAACUUUCAGUCCAGGGGAGUUUCUGCUGUUCCAGGAUGGAGGAAAUGUUCAAGAACUGUGGAGCAUCUGAGAUUUUUUUCCUACUUUUGAUGUCCACCUAGUCAAAGUUCAGGUAGGCUUAUUGUCUAUUAUAAAAGCUCCAGGUUCCCAAA